GUAACAGAGACCAAGACUGUGGAGUUGGUGAUUGUGGCUGAUCACUCGGAGGUGAGCCUGCUGGCCCCUGCACAUGCUCCUCCCCCUGCACUGCCCCGCCGCCUUUCGUGUCACCUCUCUUGGCCUACAGGUCCAGAAAUACCGGGACUUCCAGCACCUGCUAAACCGCACAUUGGAAGUGGCCCUCUUGCUGGACACAGUGAGUGCUGGACAGGGCAGCCCCCACCCCAGGCCCCUGACCAUGACAACCCCUCUUCUGAGCCCCAGCUGUCUUUCAGUUCUUCCGGCCCCUGAAUGUACGAGUGGCACUAGUGGGCCUGGAGGCCUGGACCCAGCGUGACCUGGUGGAGAUCAGCCCAAACCCAGCUGUCACCCUCGAAAACUUCCUCCACUGGCGCAGGGCACAUUUGCUGCCUCGAUUGCCCCACGACAGUGCCCAGCUGGUGACGUAAGGGCCCUG
rnacentral:sRNA from 1 species